rnacentral:lncRNA from 1 species
AAAAAAAUUUAGAAUGUUUGGGGAAGGGUUUUUUUUAGAGUCUUGGGGGAACGGAAGGAUACACACAGAGAAUAUGGCCGUUUUGUUUUGUUUUGUUUUUGAAGCAAAAAACAUAAAACCUCACCACUGCCUGCUGAACCUAGAACCUUUUGUUGGGGCUGAGUGAGGCUCCGAGGUGGGCGGGCCCCUCCAGGAGGAGUGUAUGUGUGAGUGUCUGAGCGUGUGACUAUAAAUAUAUAUAUAUAUAAAUACGUAUAUACGAUGUAUAUUAUAUGUAUAUAAAUAUGAUCUGUACAUAAUGGGUCUCUGGGAGAUGCUGGAAUAAAAGGCAAGUUAUAUGUG